rnacentral:rRNA from 1 species
AACGAACGCUGGCGGCAUGCCCAACACAUGCAAGUCGAACGAAGGCUUCGGCCUUAGUGGCGCACGGGUGCGUAACGCGUGGGAAUCUGCCCUUAGGUUCGGAAUAACAGCUGGAAACGGCUGCUAAUACCGGAUGAUAUCGCGAGAUCAAAGAUUUAUCGCCUGAGGAUGAGCCCGCGUUGGAUUAGGUAGUUGGUGGGGUAAAGGCCUACCAAGCCGACGAUCCAUAGCUGGUCUGAGAGGAUGAUCAGCCACACUGGGACUGAGACACGGCCCAGACUCCUACGGGAGGCAGCAGUGGGGAAUAUUGGACAAUGGGCGAAAGCCUGAUCCAGCAAUGCCGCGUGAGUGAUGAAGGCCCUAGGGUUGUAAAGCUCUUUUACCCGGGAAGAUAAUGACUGUACCGGGAGAAUAAGCCCCGGCUAACUCCGUGCCAGCCGCCGCAGUAAAAC